rnacentral:rRNA from 1 species
UACGAAGGGGGCUAGCGUUGCUCGGAAUUACUGGGCGUAAAGCGCACGUAGGCGGCUUUUUAAGUCGGGGGUGAAAUCCUGGAGCUCAACUCCAGAACUGCCUUUGAUACUGAGGAUCUUGAGUUCGGGAGAGGUGAGUGGAACUGCGAGUGUAGAGGUGAAAUUCGUAGAUAUUCGCAAGAACACCAGUGGCGAAGGCGGCUCACUGGCCCGAUACUGACGCUGAGGCACGAGAGCGUGGGGAGCAAACAGG